CUCAGGUAAUCCACCUGCCUUGGCCUCCCAAACUGCUGGGAUUACAGGUGUGAGCCACCACACCUGGCCAGAACUCUACUCUUCAGGAACUUAGUGCAUCAGGAGAAAGAGGAAAGGAUAUAAUUUGUAUCAAAUCCCUACAAGCUGCUAGGAUACAUUGGUGCAUUUCCUUUGGAACAUUUCAUCUACACAUACCACAGUGCAAUGGAUGCGAGUUCUUCUGUGUAAAGAUGGGGAAACUGAGGUGCAAAGGGUUUCCUCCUAAGCCAUACUGGGCUGCCACUGUUCUUCAUAUAUCAGGUUCAAGCUGAUGGAUCCAAGCCAAAGGACUCCAUAUUCUCCAAAGCCUAUAAGCAGAAUGCUGGUGUGGUGUGGGGGGGGAAGAAGUUCCAUUGUGUCCCUACUGAAGGGACACAGAAGUACCAAAAGGGUCACUGAACUGCCAGGUACCAAGUGGUACCAGGUGCCACGAGGCUGCCAAAGGCAGAGAUGAGCCAAGCCAUCAACUUCAGCUGAGGUUGAGACAUGGCAUCCAUAAAUGCCAAACAGGACCAUACUCUAUGCAGAGAAUAAGGAUCAGAAAAUCAAGUGCAAAACGGGAAGUCUCCCUAGAACCCACAUGUGCUGAUUCAAGACACCCUUAUUCUCAAGCCACAGUGUUACCUAUUCCCUUGCCCCGAACACCCAGAUACCAUUUUGGUGAGGAACAGGAGAAAGGAAAGGGAAUACAAUGUAAAAGGACUGUUUGAAUCAGAAGAGAUUGACAUAUUGAUAUUUGUCCAGUUCCAUGGUUUCUACCCCACACCCAAUAAGAAAGAGGCUUAAGAGGAACAUUAGUUCAUGAGACUAACUGGCUGUUCAUUAAACCCACAGCUGGACUACAUUUUCAGCCUUCCUUGCAGUUAGGUGUAACCAUGUGAAUGGAUCUGGCCAAUAAAAUUGAUCUUGGAAACCAGGUAUUGAAGAUGGUGAGGCCACAGAUGGAAGGCACCUGGAUCCAGAUUUAAAAGAGUUGCCUGCCAAUCAGGAACACCCUUUUUGAGCUUUGGGGAUGUGUUUUAGUUCUCAUAUUCCUGCAUAACAAACUACUCCAAAUUUAGUGGAUUAAAACAACAAUUUAUUAUAAUC
rnacentral:lncRNA from 1 species